rnacentral:rRNA from 1 species
GAUGAACGCUGGCGGCGUGCUUAACACAUGCAAGUCGAACGAGAAGUGAAGACGGAAACCUUCGGGCGGAAGGCUUUAUUUCGAGUGGCGGACGGGUGAGUAACGCGUGGGUAACCUGCCUCAUACAGGGGGAUAACAGUUGGAAACGACUGUUAAUACCGCAUAAGACCACAGCACCGCAUGGUGCGGGGGUAAAAACUCCGGUGGUAUGAGAUGGACCCGCGUUCGAUUAGCCAGUUGGCGGGGUAACGGCCCACCAAAGCGACGAUCGAUAGCCGAUCUGAGAGGAUGACCGGCGACAUUGGGACUGAGACACGGCCCAAACUCCUACGGGAGGCAGCAGUGGGGAAUAUUGCACAAUGGGGGAAACCCUGAUGCAGCGACGCCGCGUGAGUGAAGAAGUAUUUCGGUAUGUAAAGCUCUAUCAGCAGGGAAGAAAAUGACGGUACCUGAGGAAGAAGCCCCGGCUAACUACGUG